rnacentral:misc_RNA from 1 species
GGGAAUAAUGCCUCAAAAGAUAAGUGUUGCAAUACUUGCCAUAAAUAGACCAUAUUUGUGGUGAUUGUGUGCAUAAUUAGGUGCUAGAAUUCUGCACUACAAUCAUGGCGGUUAUCUGUGUUUAUUCCUAUUUUGUACUCCUCUAAAGAAUAUAAAUACCCUAAUCAGCUUGAGGGGAAUAAUCAAGCUCUUCAGCUCCAAUCUUCUCUUCAUUCUCUACUCUAAAUCUCUCUUCUGUUCUGUUUACAGUAUUAAAGCAGGUUGGGCCCCAUUUCAGUUCGGUUUCCUAGUGUUACUACUGCAUUCAGGUUUUAGGAGUAGAAUUUCUACUUUCAAGUGUCAACAAGAUAUCU